UACGUAGGUGGCAAGCGUUAUCCGGAAUUAUUGGGCGUAAAGCGCGCGCAGGUGGUUUCUUAAGUCUGAUGUGAAAGCCCACGGCUCAACCGUGGAGGGUCAUUGGAAACUGGGAGACUUGAGUGCAGAAGAGGAAAGUGGAAUUCCCUGUGUAGCGGUGAAAUGCGUAGAGAUGGGGGAGAACACUCGUGGCGAAGGCGGCCAGCUAGACCAGUUCUGACACUGAGGCGCGACAGCGUGGGGAGCAAACAGG
rnacentral:rRNA from 1 species